rnacentral:rRNA from 1 species
GACGAACGCUGGCGGCGUGCUUAACACAUGCAAGUCGAACGGAUAGGCCCUGCUUUUGUCUGGUGCUCGCGUCGCGAACGGGUGAAUUACCUGUGAGUAUCCUUCCCUUGAGUUUGUAAUAACUUCAGGCAACCGGUGCUAAUACCUGCUACGUGAUCCUGCUGCUUGGUGGGGUUCGGACAGCUUGGGCGGUUGUGGAUCGACUCGCGGUUUAACAGCUUGUUGGUGGGGGAGUGGCCUAGCAAGGCUUUGACGGGUAGCCGGCCUGAGAGGGUGGCCGGGCACAUUGGGACUCAGAUACGGCGCAGACUCCUACGGGAGGCAGCAGUGGGGAAUAUGGCACAAUGGUCGGGAGCCUGAUGCAGCAACGCCGCGAGCGGAAAGACGGCCUUCGGGGGGUAAACCGCUGUAGCCUGUGACGAAGCGGGAGUGACGGUAAUGAGAAAAGAAGCACCGGCUAACUACGUG